ensembl:snRNA RNU7-126P RNA, U7 small nuclear 126 pseudogene
UAUAGCUCUAGCUCUUUUGGAAUUUAUCCAGCAGGCUUUCUGGCAUUUGCCAGAAAGCCCUG